CGGACUGACGAAUUGCAAUCUAACUUGAAAACAAAUAAACGCACAAUACUCAAUGAAACGCUGAUUAUAAUCAAAAUAUCAGAUCAACUCUGAGGUUUUUUGGCAGAAUUUAUGUCUUAAAAAUAUAUAAGUUGUUUAACAAACUAUCAUUAAACUAUUGACGCACUUCAUAUAUAUAUUCAUGGA